UUGUAGCAUUGUCAAGCUGCGAAGCAGAAUAUAUAGCAUCUUCAUCUGCCGUAUGUGAAUGGUUAUGGUUGAGGAACUUACUGAAAGAAAUUGAUCAUGUUCAAGAAGGACCAACUACAAUCUAUGUAGAUAACGUGUCAGCAAUAAAACUUGCUAAAAAUCCAGUACAACAUGGAAGAAGUAAACAUAUUGAUACCCGAUUUCAUUUUCUCCGAGAACAAGUUAAACAAGGGACAAUCACACUGGAAUAUUGUAAUACAACAGAGCAAGUUGCAGACAUAUUUACAAAGCCACUAUCUCUUGAUAAUUUCAAAAGGUUGAGAGAAAUGCUCGGAAUGAAAAUUAAAGCUUGAGGGGGCAUGUUGAGAGCCACAACUUUAAUUUUAGAGUUACUAUUAUUCACAUUUCUUAUAUUAGAAUUUGUAUAAAAUUGAGAGGUAAAUGUUGAGAAUGAUUCUCAUCCUCUAUAUAUUUAGUUACAAAAAAGAUAUAAAUAUAAGAUGCUUAUUUCAUUAUUGUAAUGUGUAGAAAAACAAAGAAGAAAAGGGAGAGAAAAUAAGAGAUAAAAUAAAGGAGAUAUUAAGGAGGAAAAGUUUUAUAUUGAAAGACAUAUAUAUAUAUAUAUAUAUAUAUAUAGAAAUAUUUUUUUGUUAUCCUGGGUUGUAACCCAUAUUUGUUUCUCCUUUUUAUAAUCCUUAAAAUUAUUUGAGUUAGUAAUUCGUAAAUUGUGUAACUCCUACAGUGACAAACUCAAUCACAAACUCGAUUGUUGUUGUUGGUGUUAUUACAAGUCGGAAUUUCUUUGGUAUACAAUCUCAAUUAGAUGCUGAAAUUUUCUAGACUCAUUAUCUGGUUAACAGGAUGUAUAUACGACGGUUGAGAGACUCUAUCAAGCCUAAGAAACAUCAAUGUAUAAGGAUUGAAACUCAAAUUCACUUAAACAAGAUGUUAGAACUUAGAAUGCAAAUACUACCUACAAUUAUGCUAUGCAUUUUUGGGUUUGCGGUUGUGGCCGGCCAACUUGGCGAGGGACUUUUCUCCUAAAAUGAUCGGGAAGAGGGUCUCAUUUCCAAUGGAAAUGGGUGUGCCUUACCUUGUAGGGGCUUAUUUUGCCAUCAACAUGUGUAUGGGUAGCUUGGUGGUGUUAUUUGUCGCAAUAUCUUGUUAUCCCCAAAAGUACAGUUAUGGAGUUACAAAACUAGCAACGUUAUAUGUCGGUUGACCUCCUUAAUUACCUUCGAAGAAUUUGUUUGCAUUGUAUAUGGACACUGAAACUUUAAUGUGGCAAACUCAAUUACAAACUC